AGUUCUCUCUUUUUCACACAGAGUCACUCAUUCUAAAAGAAAAACCAAGACAUAAUGUAUUUCCAUUAACCUUUCAGUUUGGGAAAGUACAUUUCCUUCGGUCACACUCAACUCUGCAGCUGGUGCGUCAUUGACUUUGAAACCACAAGACUACCUGCUAUAUUCAGGAUCUCAUGUUGGUGCUGCCAUGUGGUGCUUAGGUUUCAAGAAAGCUCAUGGAGCAAGCCGGGGCUUCACAGUGUUAGGAGAUCUUGUUCUGAGGGAUAAGAUUGUGGUAUAUGAUUUAGCCCGUCAACAACUCGGAUGGGCUAAUUACAACUG